GCGGGUGUAGUUUAGUGGUAAAACUACAGCCUUCCAAGCUGUUGUCGCGAGUUCGAUGUAAAUCACCCGCU
rnacentral:tRNA from 1 species